UUUAUUUGUAUAACUUGUUUUUUCUAGGUCUCUAAAAAUGCUUUGUCGAAUCUUGCAUACAAAAAACAGUCAAGAAGCACUUUUGCCAAGUCUACUGCUUUGUGAAAUAAACAAGUUCUCUCAACUAAGUCAACUGAUUUAUUUAAAUAAAAUCUUGGUGUUAAUUUAAUUACGCCCAAUGAGACACGUUGGAAUUCACAAUAAUGAACUUAUUAGAAUAAUAAUUUAGAAUAAUAAUGGACAAAUUGGCUAUUGGCAGAUUUAAUAGAAGUGAUAUUUAUUUCAUGUGUCAAUAUCAAACAAUUAUGGGGCCAAUUUCAAUAAGCUUGGAUUUACUCCAGGGUGAUACUAACAUGUACUUUGGUAGUUUGGUCAUCUCCUACCUACAAUUGAAGAACUAAUUUAUAAAUAUGAAUUAAUGACAAGUGAUCAAACAGUUUCUAAUUAUUUGAAACCACUGGUGACUGCCAUACUUAAUUUUAUGUAGUAUGAAAAUAAGGUUUGCCGAUUAUUUGAUAGACAAAUUUUUAAUUACUGCUGCAGUCUGCCACCCACUAUUUAAAAAAGCAUGGAUUAAAAAUGAUAUACAAAAAUUAUUGGCCCCAGAAUAUUUAAAAAGUGCCUGUUAUGACUUACAUACCAGUGAUAAUGACAACAAUGAUGUAGAAGAUAACCAAAUGAAAGAUAAUUUAUCUACCUUUUUUACCGGGUCACAAAAUUCCCGAGAGGAAAAAUUAACAGUUAGUGAUGAAAUAGAUAGAUGUUUGGGCACAUCUCCAGCAAAGACUUUAGAAUGUUUGCAUAAUUUAUCCACUAUCAAAAAAUUUUCAGGUAUUUGUGAAGUACAACACUCCACUACCUAGCAGUGCAACAGUAGAGAGAGUGUUUAGUGUUGGUGGUGCAAAGAACAAAUAUGACGGAUCAGUAUUUUGAACAAAUAACACUCUAAUGUUCGAUUAAUAUAAUAUAUUAUAAAUGAUUCAGAAUUAAAUUGAUUUGUAUUUUUGAAAAUUAUUGAUAUAACCCAAUGUAGGUAAACAAGGGAGAAAAUAAUAAUUUUAAAAAAUAUCACAAUAUACUAUCUAAUAUUAUUUCAAACGGGUCUUCUGUUGUUCAUUUUUAUACCAAUUUUUAAGAGCCAUGCCAGCACAUGAACAAUAUUCUUGCGGAUUUAGUUUUAGGAUACAAAUUCUGGAUAACGUAUAUGAUAAAAGUUAUUGUUUGUACGAAGAAAAGUGUCAAGCUGAAGAUUUUGCUCAAAUAUCUCUAAAAUAUAAUGUAGGUAUCAGCUGUAUAAAAUUAAUACUGUUUUGUAAUGGUGUUAAGUUAAUGUGUUAGAUGGUGCUGAUCCAAUACAACUAAAUAAAAAAAAAAAAUCCAAGCACUGCAAGUACUUUUAAAUUUACAU